rnacentral:rRNA from 1 species
CUGGUUGAUCCUGCCAGUAGUCAUAUGCUUGUCUUAAAGAUUAAGCCAUGCAUGUCUAAGUAUAAACACUUGUACUGUGAAACUGCGAAUGGCUCAUUAUAUCAGUUAUAAUUUAUUUGAUGGUCAUUUACUUGGAUAACCGUGGUAAAUCUAGAGCUAAUACAUGCAUAAAAUCCUGACUGGGAACGGAAAGGAUGUAUUUAUUAGAUAUAAAAACCAAUGCACUAAGUUCUCACGAGCUUGGUGGAAAACAUGGUGAUUUAUGAUAACUUUACGAAUCGUAUGGUCUUGUACCGACGAUAGUUCAUUCAAAUUUCUGCCCUAUCAACUUUCGAUGGUAGUAUAGAGGACUACCAUGGUGGUAACGGGUAACGGAGAAUCAGGGUUUGAUUCCGGAGAAGGAGCCUGAGAAACGGUUACUACUUCCAAGGAAGGCAGCAGGCGCGCAAAUUACCCAAUCCCGACACGGGGUGGUAGUGACAAAAAAUAACAAUACCGGUCUUAUAUAAGUCUGGUAAUUGGAAUGAGUACAAUCUAAACCCCUUAACGAGUAUCAAUUGGAGGGCAAGUCUGGUGCCAGCAGCCGCGGUAAUUCCAGCUCCAAUAGCAUAUAUUAAAGUUGUUGCAGUUAAAAAGCUCGUAGUUGGAUUUUAGAGUUUAUUCAGUAGAGUCCGCUUGAAAAGAGUGUGUAUUUUAUUGGUAACUCUCCCUACUAGAUAUUCACGAUCAUUCUUAACUGAGUGGUUGGUCUAUUCGAAAGAGUAGGUGCUUGGUGGGUCUGGGGGUUAAGAUGUGGUUUUUUUACGGGGCAACCUGUAGAGAAAUCUGCUUAAUUCACUUCCAUUAAGUAGAAUUCUAGUUCAUUUACUUUGAGUAAAUUGGAGUGUUCAAAGCAAACGUAUAAUUUUGUAAUGAAUACUAUUAGCAUGGGAUAAUGGAACAGGACGUUGGUUCUAUUUUAUUGGUUUCUAGAACUAAUGUAAUGAUUAAAAGGGAUAGUUGGGGGCAUUAGUAUUUAAUUGUCAGAGGUGAAAUUCUUGGAUUUAUGAAAGACUAACUUCUGCGAAAGCAUUUGUCAAGGAUGUUUUCAUUAAUCAAGAACGAAAGUUAGGGGAUCGAAGACGAUCAGAUACCGUCGUAGUCUUAACCAUAAACUAUGCCGACCAGGGAUUGGAAGACGUUAAUUUAAAAAAUAGGACUCCUCCAGCACCUUACGAGAAAUCACAA